ensembl:lncRNA
UGCUGUUUCCUUGUUGUUAUCGUGACCCUUUUGGUGCCGUCAACCAGGUUUUCAACAAUGUUGAAAAUGUUAAAAACACGUAUUCGUCGAAAAUAAAAACUAGUUUAAAACAUUUGCCAUGGUGGAGGGUGUCAAUGGAUGAAUGCCAAGACUAGACAGUUUUGGUGACUUCCCUGUAUUCGCACCCCGAAUGAGCCCAGAUAAAAACGAGUGGCAUUUACUGGACAUUUAUAAUAUACCAGCCUCUCCGCACCGUCUCCACGAAUGUUUACCACAACCCUGUGAAGGAGGCUCUUUUCCUCUCUCCUUUCCCAGAUGAGUAAACCCAGGGAGGGAAGUGACUUGCCCGGGGCCCUGCGGCCAGCAGCCUGGAGGUGUGGAACGAGGAUUCAAACCAGGUCUAGGAGACCCCUCGGCCCGUGUGCUCGCCAUUGCAGUUUUGCCACCUGGCCUUGUCCUCUGAAUCUUCGCGAAGUGCUCUUAGGGCCUAAUUGUCUGCGCCCUGGGCUGAGUGCUGUAAAGGUGAAUCACGGUGGGCACAGCGCACCACGACUCCUGUUGAGUGUAACAGAUCACUGGUGAUACAGAAUAUGCGUCAGGGCAACUGUCCUUCAUGAAGUCUCUGCGUCAUCGGGAGCACUCUCUAUCCCAAGAGGAGAGACUGGAAAGUGCCCAUGAGGUUUUCACAGGCUCCCCAGGAAAUGUCACUCAUCAUUCACUUCCUCUUACAACCCAUUUGCCAGUGACUCUCUCAGUAAGAGUUAGACUCAUGAGCAAAGGGCUGUGAAGUGCGGUCCGCCAUAUGCCUGGAAGGGGAGGCUACCCAGAUGUUGGAAAACACGAGUGAUGCCUACCUUCAUCUAUACCAUUGACUGAAAGCGCUGGUCUUAAUCAUUUUUAUAGUAAGACUCCGUACCUAACAGACGAAAGCCUCCGAUGCUAUGUUUCGACUUCAAGAAGGCCUUGGCUCGUCUUAGACCUUGGCAAUUCCAUACAAGUUGUAGAAAGUGUUUGUGAAGUUCUGAAAAAGAUCCCAAAUUCACAGCUGAAUCAAGGGAGAAUCGACACUGAAAAUAUCAAGUGUUCUAAUUCAGUAACAGAAUUUCUCUCCUUUAAUCCAGGUCUUCUUUAGUUUCUUUCAAUAAUGUUUUAUAAUGUUUAAAAAAAUUUUUUUAAACAUUUCUUCAUUUUUGAGAGACAGAGACAGAGUGUGAGGGGGGGAGGGGCAGAGAGAGGGGGAGACACAGAAUCCGAAGCAGGGUCCAGGCUCUGAGCCAUCAGCACAGAGCCAGAGGCAGGGCUUGAAAUCACGGACCACAGGAUCAUGACUUGAGCUGAAGUUGGACACUUAAUGGACUGAGCCACCUGGGUGCCCCAGUGUUUUAGAAUGUUUUGCACAGAGGUCUUAUACACCUUUUGUUAGAUUUUCCCCUAAAAUUUGGAUAUGUUUAAAUCCUAGUGUAAAUGUUAUUUUCCAAGUUUUUUCCAUUUUAUAAAAUCUGUGGUUGAUAGGGGCACCUGGGUGGCUCAGUUGGUUUUAACCAUCCAGCUUCGGCUCAGGCAAUGAUCUCGCAGUUCACUAGUUCGAGCCCCACGUCAGGCUCAGAGCCUGAAGCCUGUUUCAGAUUCUGUGUCUGCCAAUCUGCCUCUCCCCCGCUCGCACCUGUCUCUCUCUCUCUCUCUCCUCUCUCUCUCUCCUCUCUCUCUCUCUCUCUCUCUCUCUCUCUCUCAGAAAUAAAUAAAACACUAAAAACA